AUGUUACGGCGGACGGGUGAGUAACACGUGGGUAACCUGCCUGUAAGACUGGGAUAACUCCGGGAAACCGGAGCUAAUACCGGAUAGUUCCUUGAACCGCAUGGUUCAAGGAUGAAAGACGGUUUCGGCUGUCACUUACAGAUGGACCCGCGGCGCAUUAGCUAGUUGGUGGGGUAAUGGCUCACCAAGGCGACGAUGCGUAGCCGACCUGAGAGGGUGAUCGGCCACACUGGGACUGAGACACGGCCCAGACUCCUACGGGAGGCAGCAGUAGGGAAUCUUCCGCAAUGGACGAAAGUCUGACGGAGCAACGCCGCGUGAGUGAUGAAGGUUUUCGGAUCGUAAAGCUCUGUUGUUAGGGAAGAACAAGUGCGAGAGUAACUGCUCGCACCUUGACGGUACCUAACCAGAAAGCCACGGCUAACUACGUGCCAGCAGCCGCGGUAAUACGUAGGUGGCAAGCGUUGUCCGGAAUUAUUGGGCGUAAAGGGCUCGCAGGCGGUUUCUUAAGUCUGAUGUGAAAGCCCCCGGCUCAACCGGGGAGGGUCAUUGGAAACUGGGAAACUUGAGUGCAGAAGAGGAGAGUGGAAUUCCACGUGUAGCGGUGAAAUGCGUAGAGAUGUGGAGGAACACCAGUGGCGAAGGCGACUCUCUGGUCUGUAACUGACGCUGAGGAGCGAAAGCGUGGGGAGCGAACAGGAUUAGAUACCCUGGUAGU
rnacentral:rRNA from 1 species